rnacentral:rRNA from 1 species
GACGAACGCUGGCGGCGUGCCUAAUACAUGCAAGUAGAACGCACAGUUUAUACCGUAGCUUGCUACACCAUAAACUGUGAGUUGCGAACGGGUGAGUAACGCGUAGGUAACCUGCCUGGUAGCGGGGGAUAACUAUUGGAAACGAUAGCUAAUACCGCAUAAUAUUGAUUAUUGCAUGAUAAUUGAUUGAAAGAUGCUAUUGCAUCACUACCAGAUGGACCUGCGUUGUAUUAGCUAGUAGGUGAGGUAACGGCUCACCUAGGCGACGAUACAUAGCCGACCUGAGAGGGUGAUCGGCCACACUGGGACGGAGACACGGCCCAGACUCCUACGGGAGGCAGCAGUAGGGAAUCUUCGGCAAUGGACGAAAGGCUGACCGAGCAACGCCGCGUGAGUGAAGAAGGGUUUCGGAUCGGAAAGCUCUGUUGUAAGAGAAGAACGGGUGUGAGAGUGGAAAGUUCACACUGUGACGGUAGCUUACCAGAAAGGGACGGCUAACUACGUG